rnacentral:rRNA from 1 species
CGGCGGACGGGUGAGUAAUGCAUAGGAAUCUGCCCAGUAGUGGGGGAUAGCCCGGGGAAACUCGGAUUAAUACCGCAUACGUCCUACGGGAGAAAGGGGGCUUCGGCUCUCGCUAUUGGAUGAGCCUAUGUUGGAUUAGCUAGUUGGUGAGGUAAAGGCUCACCAAGGCGACGAUCUAUAGCUGGUCUGAGAGGAUGAUCAGCCACACUGGGACUGAGACACGGCCCAGACUCCUACGGGAGGCAGCAGUGGGGAAUAUUGCACAAUGGGCGCAAGCCUGAUGCAGCCAUGCCGCGUGUGUGAAGAAGGCUUUCGGGUUGUAAAGCACUUUCAGUGGGGAGGAAAAGUUAGUAGUUAAUACCUGCUAACCGUGACGUUACCCACAGAAGAAGCACCGGCUAACUCCGUGCCAGCAGCCGCGGUAAU